GGACGAACGCUGGCGGCGUGCCUAACACAUGCAAGUCGAACGGAGUAUGCUUGAGAUUCGUCGAGAGGCAUACUUAGUGGCGGACGGUGAGUAAUGCGUGAGCAACCUGCCCUUCGAGAGGGGGACAACAGUUGGAAACGACUGCUAAUACCGCAUGAUGUAUCCGGGAGGCAUCUUCUGGAUACCAAAGAUUUUAUCGCUGAGGGAUGGGCUCACGUCUGAUUAGCUAGUUGGUGGGUAACGGCCUACCAAGGCUGCGAUCAGUAGCCGGACUGAGAGGUUGAACGGCCACAUUGGGACUGAGAUACGGCCCAGACUCCUACGGGAGGCAGCAGUGGGGAAUAUUGGGCAAUGGGCGCAAGCCUGACCCAGCAACGCCGCGUGAAGGAAGAAGGCCUUCGGGUUGUAAUCUUCUUUUAUGAGGGACGAAGGAAGUGACGGUACCUCAUGAAUAAGCCACGGCUAACUACGUGCCAGCCGCGGC
rnacentral:rRNA from 1 species